rnacentral:rRNA from 1 species
UACGUAGGGUGCAAGCGUUGUCCGGAAUUAUUGGGCGUAAAGAGCUCGUAGGCGGUCUGUCGCGUCUGCUGUGAAAACUCAGGGCUUAACCCUGAGCUUGCAGUGGGUACGGGCAGACUAGAGUGCGGUAGGGGAGACUGGAAUUCCUGGUGUAGCGGUGAAAUGCGCAGAUAUCAGGAGGAACACCGGUGGCGAAGGCGGGUCUCUGGGCCGAUAACUGACGCUGGAGGAAGCGAAAGCGUGGGAGCGAACAGG